rnacentral:misc_RNA from 1 species
GAGAAGAACGCAGCGAAAUGCGAUAAGUAAUGUGAAUUGCAGAAUUCAGUGAAUCAUCGAAUCUUUGAACGCACAUUGCGCCCCCUGGUAUUCCGGGGGGCAUGCCUGUCCGAGCGUCAUUACAACCCUCAAGCUCAGCUUGGUGUUGGGCCCCGCCGCCCCGGCGGGCCCUAAAGUCAGUGGCGGUGCCGUCCGGCUCCGAGCGUAGUAAUUCUUCUCGCUCUGGAGGUCCGGUCGUGUGCUCGCCAGCAACCCCCAAUUUUUUUCAGGUUGACCUCGGAUCAGGUAGGGAUACCCGCUGAACUUAAGCAUAUCAAAGCGGAGGA